rnacentral:lncRNA from 1 species
UAAUCUUUAAUGUUCAAUCUGUGUUAAAUUUCGUUUCAGAGUUCAGAGUCUGAGUCCGAAUCAUUGGAAUCCAAUUCAGAGUCUUCCGAGAGCCAUUCUUUGGAGAGUGCGAGCCAAUCACUGGAGGACAGGGUAAAGAUCCUCAGAUUUACAUCAUUUCACAGAGUGCAUAUCAAGACAAUAAAAUGAGAAAGAUGCAAUCAA